AGUGAAUAGAUACCCUGGUAGUCCACGCCCUAAACGGUGGCGACUAGGUGUGGGGGGUAUCGACCCCCUCCGUGCCGCAGCUAAACGCGAUAAGUCGCCCGCCUGGGGACUACGGCCGCAAGGUUAAAACUCAAAGGAAUUGACGGGGGCCCGCACAAGCAGCGGAGCGUGUGGUUUAAUUCGAUGCAACGCGCAGAACCUUACCGGGGUUUGACAUGCUCAGGAAAGGCCUAGAGAUAGGUCCCCCCUUCGGGGUCUUGAGCACAGGUGCUGCAUGGCUGUCGUCAGCUCCGUGCCGUGAGGUGUUGGGUUAAGUCCCGCAACGAGCGCAACCCUCGCCGCUAGUUGUAUGUUUCUAGCGGGACCGCUGCGCAAAACGCAGAGGAAGGUGGGGAUGACGUCAAGUCAUCAUGGCCUUUAUGCCCCGGGCUACACACACGCUACAAUGGGUGGUACAGACGGUUGCGAAGCCGCGAGGUGAAGCCAAUCCGACAAAGCCAUCCUCAGUACAGAUUGCAGGCUGC
rnacentral:rRNA from 1 species